GACGAACCGUGCGAACGUUAUUCGGAAUCACUGGGCUUAAAGCGCGUGUAGGCGGGCCGGCACGUCGGCCGCUGAAAUCCCCCGGCUCAACCGGGGAAGCGGCGCCGAUACGACCGGCCUGGAGGGGAGUAGGGGGCCUGGAACUUCCGGUGGAGCGGUGAAAUGCGUUGAGAUCGGAAGGAACGCCCGUGGCGAAAGCGAGGCCCUGGACUCCUGCUGACGCUGAGACGCGAAAGCCAGGGGAGCGAACGGGG
rnacentral:rRNA from 1 species